UACAGAGGUCUCAAGCGUUUGUUCGGAUUCAUUGGGCGUAAAGGGUGUGUAGGUGGCGCCGUAAGUCGGGUGUGAAAUUUCGGAGCUUAACUCCGAAACUGCAUUCGAUACUGCCGUGCUUGAGGACUGGAGAGGAGACUGGAAUUUACGGUGUAGCGGUGAAAUGCGUAGAUAUCGUAAGGAAGACCAGUGGCGAAGGCGGGUCUCUGGACAGUUCCUGACGCUGAGGCACGAAGGUCAGGGGAGCAAACGGG
rnacentral:rRNA from 1 species